rfam:Oryza rufipogon genomic scaffold, chr04
AAAAAAGCAAAUCGUGGGUUUCCGUGACAACGUUUGACUGUCUGUCUUAUAUGAAUUUUUUUUAUAAUUAGUAUUUUCAUUGCUGUUAGAUGAUAAAACAUGAUUAAUAUUUUAUACGUGACUUAUCUUUUUAAUUUUUUUAAAUAAGACGGAUGGUCAAACGUUGGAUACGGAAACCAGGGUUUGUCUUUUU